AUGUCACACACCACGGUCACCAACACUACAACUACGACCACCGCCACUUGUUACCACCAUCGCUAGCAUCACACCACAACCGCCAUUAGCAUCACCAUUACAAUCGUCAGCACCACCAUCAACGCAUUUACCUACACCACCACAAAAAAAUCGUCACCAGAUCACAUUGCCCUCACUAUCGCCUCCAACAGGUCUACCACCACAAACAUCGUUACUGCAUUUUGCUCUAACAAGCCACUCUCCACCUCCACCUCUACCUCCACCUCCAAUCAAUGAUCGUACCACCGUCGCCUGCUAAAAUCACCAUGUCUCCCAAUAUUAGCAUACCACAGCCACCAUCCCACCAACAAAAUCAUCAAGUCCCCCACCGCCUCCACCUCCACCUCCACCUCCAUAACCUCUCUCUGACAUCUGCCACAGCUCCAUGUCAUUCAUUUCAAAGAAAUCAAACUCAAAUAAAAAAAAAAGAACAUAACUAUGUCACUAUGCACGAAGGAAAAAAUUGAUCUCAUCUCUGCUUGCUAGCGAUAGUCACGCGCGAAACAACAAAACCCCUAACACGGAGAAGAGCCAUAGCAGCUCGCAGCGUUGAUGUUGCCAUGAAGCGACGGCGCCUAACAUGAAGGAGCACGCUGCUGUGAUGUGAAGAUUGGUCAGAGUGGGCGCGCAAUGAAGAACCAUUGGAUUGGGUGUCGAUGUGGGGUGGGGAAAGAAACCGUCAUUGUGAGCUCGGUAGUGGUCUUUGGUAGUGGGU
rnacentral:lncRNA from 1 species